GCCGCGGGCUGCCAGCCUGGCCAAGUUGGCCGCCUUCUCCAGACGCCCGGAUCCCCAGGUCCCUCCUGUCACCUCCCCUGCUUCUCCCACAUCGGAGGCCGAGAAGCCGAGGUCAGAAGUGUGUGUCCAGCAGCAGAGACGCGAGCAGGGGGCGUGGGGCGUCCCAGGUCUGCCCCUCCAGGGGCCCAGCUGAGAACAGGGUCCUGGGGCAGGACACUGUCCAUCAGGCGUGGUCCAGCCUGGGGGAGGAGGAGAUUGACAGGGCGCAGGGAAUCACCGCCAACAGACAACCAGUCACAAGACAGGAUGGCUUUGCAUCCGUCAAUAGCCAACCUCUCCCAGGAUGCCUAAGGCUUUGCUCCCGCCCACAGUCAACCAAUCACAAGACAGAAUUCACCACUGAUGGACGGACAACUUCCCAGGAAGGCCAAGGACACAUACGGUGACCCUGGAGGCCGCUUUACUGGACUCGCCCAAAAGAGCUUCAGAUCCUCUUUGACAUCGGCUCUUUCUCCAGGGCCAUUCCUUCGGAGUCGAGGAGACACUUCAGAGUGACCGUGGACCGCAGAGGCCCCGCAGGGUUCUCCCUGGCGGCAGCUCUCGGUGGUCUCAAGACUCGGACUCCUUGACCCCCCUCAUGUUCUGCAGGUUGAUGAUGAAACUCGGGGUCCCACAAACACUGGGUUCCCAGCCCCUGACCCGUCCCUCCUGGCCCAGGAACCCCCCAGCGCCAGGCUCUCCCCGCUUGGCCAAUCCCGCGGUUAGUGGUGCGGAGACUUUGGCUAAGCCAGCCCGGGCCCAGCCCUGACGGGGUGCGGCCCACUCAUCUUCAGAACGUCCCGUCUGGCCUCCCUGCUGGGCCCUGAUUGUGGCUGACAGGUACCCACUCGGUCAGUCGGAAGCUCAAGCCUGGGACCCUGAAUCUUGUGAACAGUCACAUGUGCAGUGACACGGUGGCACUGGGGGUCCAGAAGGCACCGGCCAGAGCUGGCGUCACUAGAUGGUUCCUGGAGUGACCUCAGCUAGGUUUGGGGCUGCUGCGCCCCUCUGGGUUCUGUGGAUGUCUGUGCCCAGUUGGUUGCCUGUCCUGCCCCUGGUGCCUGUGAAGGUCCCCUGUCCCGUCUCUCUGCCCGAGUGGGCCGGGUCGGUUUCUCUGUGUGCGCACGGCCUCUGGGAAUCGGCUCAAUCAUCUGGCAAGAUGCGUGGACGUGGACGUGGACGUGGCGUUUGUUUUACAAACUGUUCCCUAGAAGCAGGAGGCAUGACCUGCCGGGCAGGGUCCUGGGAGGAGAACUGGGGAUGGACGGGGGACAGGGGCGGAGAGGAGCUUUCCACUGGCGAAUCCAGAUGAGCCGCUGUGGACAGCACCAGCAGGCUCGGGGGUGAGGCCCUCCCUGGGCACCUGGCACCUCACCGACCCAGGGGUGACUGGGGCAGGUGGAGAGUGGCCCAGGUGUCGUCACGCACCCAGUAACGGAGGGGACUGGAAGCAGGGGCUCUGGGCUCAGGUCUGGUGGAAUCCUUGCAGCAGCUGCACGAGGCGGUCGGUACUCAGAUUCCAGGUGCCCCCGAGUGCCAUCCUGGGCCUCCUCAGCAAAACAACAAAAUGGUCAAGAGGGCAUCAGAGCCAAGCCCAGCUCUCGCCAGUGUCUUUGCCGUCAGCCUUGUUUCCUGUGGACUCUUGCUCACUCUUGGGGUGGCCAACCAGCUCAGUUCAGCAAGGACCUUCCUGGUGUUAGCACUGACGUCCAGUGUCCCGAGAACCCUUCAGUCCCAGGCCAACCAGGAUGGCCAAGCCAGGCAAGGGUCCCCUCUCCCUGCAUUACAAACUCAGGGGCACUCGGCCACUGAGCCCCUCCCCCAGCCCUUUUUUGUACUUUAUUUGGAGACAGGGUCUCACUGAGCUGCUGAGCGCCUCACUUUGGCUGAGGCUGGCUUUGAACUCGCCAGCCUCCUGCCUCAGCCUCCCGAGCCACUGGGAUGACAGGCGUGCGCCACGGCGCCUGGCCCCCUUCGUCAUCUCGAAGCAGCCCUGGCGGUACGCCCUUCUGUCUGUAAAUAUCCCAGAACCUCUCCCUGACACAGGUGUAGUCCCAGCGUCCCACCCCACAAGGUCCCUUCACACCCUGACACAGCCGGUGACAGUGCCAGUGUCAACCAGGGUGAGUCCGGGUGCCCGUACGUGGGCCUCGGGGACCUUGGAUCUUUUCAUUUGAAAUUCCUCUUCCCGGUUUUUCUUUUUCUUCUCGUUUAUCUAUUUAAAAACCUGCUGGUCUGUCUGUCUGCCGACUUCCCCACGUUCUAGGUUUAGCCUGUGGAGCUGCAGUGUUGGGGCCGGUGUGUCCUGUGGGGUGGGGAGGAGGGAAUGGCCUGUGAGCAGGCUCUGGGCAGCUCCCUACACACCAGAUCCCGCUCGCUCUCUUUAGGAUUCACCCAGGUCACAGGGUGGGGACCGGUCGCCCCUCAGGAAGUCCUUCUUUAGCUUUCCUGCCAGUUGCUUGUUGUGGUGGUGGUGCCUGGACCCACUCGUUUUUGGGGGUGACAGGGGUGAUGUUUGAAGUCCGUCGCUUCCUCAUUAGAGGCUGAGGUUUUUGUAAAUGAAGGCUCUUUCCUCCUCGGCUCUUAGAUCCCAGCAGAGUAGACUUUAUACCAAAGUGAAUCAGCUUCCACUUGGGGUCUUCGCCCUAAGAUCAGUUCUCAGAAAAACAAGCUGGUGUCGUGAAAACCCACGCGGUGGGAACUGUGCAGGACUCUCGACUUCUGCCGCGUUUCAUGCUGAGUCACUGCACAGAUGCUCUGUGACGUGACAGUGAGCCACCUUGGGCCAGCUCCACUACGUCCUUGGGGACCUUCUUGCACCCUGGGGACCUGCCCCCCACGGAUCUUGGAUGACGCUCUCAUCUUCAGGGACAGCAUGACAUUCUAGGCUCACUUUGUGUAUUUCCUGUCCCAGACACGAAGGGACAAAACUUUACCCUUCUGUAGAAUAUGACCCGCUGACAAGGAGGACUCAGGGGACUGGAUCGCCACCAGGAAACUUUCUCUCCCCCUCCCCCGGGGGCUUCCUGCUCCGCCUGCUGGGCCAUGCUUUUUAGAUUUUGUUUAUUCGUUCUCUCUCCCCCUCCCCCUCCCUCCCUCUCUCCCUCCCCUCCCUUUUUCUCU